UACAAUUUCGGCAGUUAAAACCAGACUUCCUUUCUCUUCCUUGUUUGUGCUUGCCUUUCCCUCAUUUUCCUUCUCUGCCUUCCCCUUCCCUGUAGCAGGACUAUGUUUUUGAUGUCCCUUUCUGUCUUGACAAUACAUCCCAAACUGCACCUGCUUUCCCCAGGGCUUAUCUAUUCUUUCCCAGACACGUGUAAAUAAGUGGAAAGUUCAGACCUGUGUAGACAGCGCUGUUACUAUCUCAUGUCUCCAACAAUCUCUGUAUCUUUUCAGGCGAACCAUCUAGCUUCGUGAGUUUUGCUGUCAACAACUAGAGGGUACACGAAUCUCUCGGUAAUUACAGAGCUAGCCUCCUGAACGACUUCCAUGAUUAAAAAAUUUCAUCAUCAAAGGUACCCUAAGAAGCAAGAAGUUCAGCUAUAUGGUGGAUCAAGACAAUUAUUAAACUCAGGAAAGAAUGAAAUUAACCAUGGCUCAAUCAGUAUUCUAUCACUUUGUCUGUUAAUUGUCUGGAUUAUUUCAUCCUUUAGGAACGGUAGACAGAACAGCCAGGGUAACAGUUGAGACAUGAGUCUCAGCUCUGCUGCUUGAGAAAGUCAUGGCAGAAGUAUGGUGAGGAGGCUACUAAUUUGGUAAAGGGUCAAAUAUCCAGAGAUCCAUGUUAACUGAGCAAGGUGACAUCUGCCUGUAAUGCCAACUUUCAGAAGGCAGAGGCAAGACGUUCUGGGUCACCCUGGAACACAU
rnacentral:lncRNA from 1 species